UCCGUAGGCGGAUCGAUAAGUCAGAGGUGAAAUCCCACAGCUUAACUGUGGAACUGCCUUUGAUACUGUUGGUCUUGAGUUAUAUGGAAGUAGAUAGAAUGUGUAGUGUAGCGGUGAAAUGCAUAGAGAUUACACAGAAUACCGAUUGCGAAGGCAGUCUACUACGUAUAUACUGACGCUAAUGGACGAAAGCGUGGGGAGCGAACAGGAUUAGAUACCCUGGUAGUC
rnacentral:rRNA from 1 species